UCCAAUGAUGGCAUGAUAUCUUUGAGACCUGAUUGUCUAAUUUGAUGACAACUAUAAGCAAUCUUUCUGAGGAU